rnacentral:SRP_RNA from 1 species
CGUUGGGCCUUCUGCACUUCUUGCCUGCGAACCUGGUCAGGGCCGGAAGGAAGCAGCCACAGUGGGAUUAAGAAGGUGCCGGAAUGUGCCUAACGCUU